rnacentral:rRNA from 1 species
UCCGGAGAGGGAGCCUGAGAAAUGGCUACCACAUCCAAGGAAGGCAGCAGGCGCGUAAAUUGCCCGAAUCCUGACACAGGGAGGUAGUGACAAGAAAUAACAAUACAGGGCUCUUUCGAGUCUUGUAAUUGGAAUGAGUACAAUUUACAUCUCUUCACGAGGAUCAAUUGGAGGGCAAGUCUGGUGCCAGCAGCCGCGGUAAUUCCAGCUCCAAUAGCGUAUAUUAAAGUUGUUGCAGUUAAAACGCUCGUAGUCGGAUUUCGGGGCAGGUUUGCCGGUCUGCCGAUGGGUAUGCACUGGUAGAACUGUCCUUCCUUCCGGAGACGGCGCCUACUCUUAACUGAGCGGGUGUCGGAGACGGAUCGUUUACUUUGAAAAAAUCAGAGUGUUUCAAGCAGGCAGCUCGCUUUUGCAUGGAUUAGCAUGGGAUAAUGAAAUAGGACUUUGGUGCUAUUUUGUUGGUUUCGAACACCGAAGUAAUGAUUAACAGGGACAGUCAGGGGCACUCGUAUUCCGCCGAGAGAGGUGAAAUUCUUAGACCAGCGGAAGACGAACCACUGCGAAAGCAUUUGCCAGGGAUGUUUUCACUGAUCAAGAACGAAAGUUAGGGGAUCGAAGACGAUCAGAUACCGUCGUAGUCUUAACCAUAAACCAUGCCGACUAGGGAUUGGAGGAUGUUCCUAUGUGACUCCUUCAGCACCUUUCGGGAAACUAAAGUCUUUGGGUUCCGGGGGGAGUAUGGUCGCAAGGCUGAAACUUAAAGGAAUUGACGGAAGGGCACCACCAGGAGUGGAGCCUGCGGCUUAAUUUGAC